rnacentral:rRNA from 1 species
UGGGGAAUUUUGGACAAUGGGCGCAAGCCUGAUCCAGCAAUGCCGCGUGCAGGAUGAAGGCCUUCGGGUUGUAAACUGCUUUUGUACGGAGCGAAAAGGUCUGCCCUAAUACGGUGGGCUCAUGACGGUACCGUAAGAAUAAGCACCGGCUAACUACGUGCCAGCAGCCGCGGUAAUACGUAGGGUGCGAGCGUUAAUCGGAAUUACUGGGCGUAAAGCGUGCGCAGGCGGUUAUAUAAGACAGAGGUGAAAUCCCCGGGCUCAACCUGGGACCUGCAUUUGUAACUGUAUAGCUAGAGUACGGUAGAGGGGGAUGGAAUUCCGCGUGUAGCAGUGAAAUGCGUAGGUGUGCGGAGGAACACCGAUGGCGAAGGCAAUCCCCUGGACCUGUACUGACGCUCAUGCACGAAAGCGUGGGGGGCAAACA